ACAUCUGCAUGACAUGUGGUAUAUCAGUCCCAUUACAGUUCCUGCCAUGUCACCUUGAGGAUUGUCAAAGUAAUAAUGCGAUAGAAUCUGAAUCUGACAAGGAAAAAGAAAAUGAAGAGGCCCAUGGACUGAGCCAUGAGUCAGAUGUAAUUUGUCUGGAUGCCUGUCCGAUAUGUGGAGAAGAAUUUUCUGCAGAAGUGAUGCCUUACCAUGCCAGUACA